AAUUUACACCAAUAUUUAAACUUUAUUUAUCCCCAAUCUUUCCCACACUUGGCUUCAGUUUCUCCUUCUGAUUUCCACCAAUUUCCCACCUUUCCCUCAAACUGUCAAACACCCACUUCAACCUCGAUUGCUGCUACCCAAUUGAGGUUCGUUUUGGUGUAAUCAACCUUUAAUUUUGUUUGUUUGGAGUUGAAUUUUCUGGGGUUUUGUUAUUUUUUUUUUUUUGCUUGUUCCCCAUAUCAUAUUUGACUUGAAUUCAUGUUUUCUUAUGCAAUUGAUGUUAGUCUAUGUGCCCAUAUCAAAAUUAGGGCAACCCAUUUGCAGUUUAUCAUAAAUGGUUUUGCUCUCUGCUUGUGCAAGAACUGAUUUUUCCCAAUUUACCCGGGUUGUUUGCCCAUGUAAAAUCGUCCCGCCAGGGGCGGUUUGUUUGAAUGGAAGCUGGGAUUGUGGGUUUUAUGUGUUUGGGUGUUAUAGAAGUAAGAGGAGGAGGUGUUUUGGGGUUAAUUCGAAAAAGAGUUCGAGUAGAAAAUGGGUUUUUCGCGCUUGUGCUGUUUCCAGUGAUGGCGGGGGUACUAAUUUUAAUGUAGAUAUAGGUACUAAUUCUGCUAGGGGAGGUGCUAAAAGUGUAGUUCUAAGUCGGUUUUCAGAUGAAUUCGACAAUGAUGAUGGUGAUGAUGCUAGUAGGGAUUUGUCACAAGAAUCUAUCCAAUUGGGUUCUGGUUUUACCAAUUUUCAGCAAGACCCAAUUGUGGAUAAGCUCAGGACGCAACUAGGAGUGAUUCAUCCUAUGCCUACACCUCCGAUAAAUCGGACUGUUUUCAGCUUGUUUGUGUUCUUCUUCUUUGUUGGGGUUGUUUUUGACAAGCUAUGGACGCGGUUAAAGAGGAAAAAGACCGAUACUCAGCUUGCUUUGUGGCGGCAAACACCCUUGACUUUUUCGAUGUUUUUAGAGAAGGAUUUGCAGAGGAAGGAGUCGGUAGAAUGGGUGAAUAUGGUGCUAGGAAAGUUGUGGCAGGUUUACAGACCUGGUCUUGAAAACUGGAUAGUUGGUUUGUUACAACCUGUUAUUGACAAUAUAGCAAAACCGGAUUAUGUACAACGAGUGGAGGUGAAGCAGUUCUCGUUGGGCGAUGAGCCUCUGUCUGUUAGAAGUGUGGAACGCAGAACAUCUCGCCGCAUGAAUGACUUGCAGUACCAAAUUGGCCUUCGAUACACUGGCGGGGCUCGUAUGCUUUUAAUGCUCUCACUGAAAUUCGGUAUACUUCCCAUUGUUGUGCCAGUUGGUGUUCGGGAUUUUGAUAUUGAUGGGGAACUUUGGGUGAAACUACGGUUAAUACCCACAGAGCCAUGGGUUGGAGCUGUUUCAUGGGCCUUUGUUGACCUUCCGAAAAUAAAGUUCGAAUUGUCACCAUUUCGAUUGUUCAAUUUAAUGGCGAUACCCGUCCUUUCAACCUUCUUGACAAAACUGCUGACUGAAGAUUUACCAAGACUCUUUGUCCGCCCAAAGAAGAUUGUUUUAGAUUUUCAGAAAGGGGAAGCUGUUGGGCCUGUGCCUACUGAUUUGAAAUCUAAGGAUGCUCAAGAGAAAAAUAAAGAUUCUGUUGGAGAGCUGUCAGUGACUCUUGUAGAUGCUCGUAAUCUCUCAUAUGUACUGUACGGUAAGACGGAUCCUUAUGUUGUUUUGCGCAUGGGAGACAAAAAAAUACGCAGUAAGAAGAAUAGUCAAACCACCGUCAUAGGACCGCCUGGUGAACCGAUCUGGAACCAAGACUUCAAUAUGCUUGUUGCAGAUCCUAAAAAACAGAGAUUGUACGUUGAAGUUGUGGACUCUCUUGGCUUUGGAUAUAUGACAAUUGGUAAAGGAGAGGUUGAUUUAGGUACUCUCCAAGACACAGUACCAACAGAUACGGUUGUUGCCUUGACAGGAGGGUGGAAUUUGUUUAGAAAGAGAAAUUGCGGUGAAGUUCUUCUCCGGUUGACAUAUAAAGCAUAUGUGGAAGAUGAAGAAGAGGAGGGGACAAAAGCACAAGUAGCUGACUCAGUAAUUUCAGAGGAUGACGGUUCUGAUGCUGAUGAACCUGAUCUUACUUACAAGCAAAUGCCAGAGAAUUUUAUGCGAAAUAAAGAUAAAGAAUCAUUUAUGGAUGUUCUUGCUGCACUAAUUGUGAGUGAGGAAUUUCAAGGAAUAGUAACAUCUGAAACUGGAAACGCAAAAGUUGCAGAUGAUGUUACUAGUAUAGGUACCACUUCUCCAAAGUCACAAGGCCUUGCAGCUGAACCCUUGGUGGAUAGCGGAGUAGAAAGUUCUAAAGGAUCUGCGCUAUUUUGGCUGGCUGUGAUUACCAGUAUUGCGGUUGUAAUUGCCCUCAAUGUUGGCGGACCAAGUAUCUUUAAUCCCUGAUUUUUCUCCAGAGGCGUAUAAAUGCCAGUUUUUGCUUUUUUCACGAAGGUGAGAGGCUGCAGUUAUUCUUUGAAGGAGCUGAAGGUGAUACACCUCAUAUUGGCUGCUAAGUAAGUGCUAAGUAGCUAUGCAAAUUGGUGUAAAUCCCUGCUGAGUUAAUAAUUCCUUCGGCCCGCCCGAAAAAUAAUUGUUUGGUUGGGGAAUUUUGUGGCCCAUCCCCUUAAUAGGCGUUCAAAUUGUAAAUCCUAUAUCCCUUUUCUAUUUAUUUUCUUUCUUUCUUGUAACUUAAACUUUUGCUGCUAUCAUAAAAACCACAGGUAGUUCGAAUCGAUA